rnacentral:rRNA from 1 species
UACGAAGGGAGCUAGCGUUGUUCGGAGUCACAGGGCGGAAAGCGCACGUAGGCGGACGUGUCAGUCAGGGGUGAAAUCCCGGGGCUCAACCUCGGAACUGCCUUUGAUACAGCACGUCUUGAGUCCGGAAGAGGUGGGUGGAAUUCCUAGUGUAGAGGUGAAAUUCGUAGAUAUUAGGAAGAACACCGGUGGCGAAGGCGGCCCACUGGUCCGGUACUGACGCUGAGGUGCGAAAGCGUGGGGAGCAAACAGG